rnacentral:rRNA from 1 species
UAGGGAAUCUUCCGCAAUGGGCGAAAGCCUGACGGAGCAACGCCGCGUGAGUGAUGAAGGUCUUCGGAUCGUAAAACUCUGUUAUUAGGGAAGAACAAAUGUGUAAGUAACUAUGCACGUCUUGACGGUACCUAAUCAGAAAGCCACGGCUAACUACGUGCCAGCAGCCGCGGUAAUACGUAGGUGGCAAGCGUUAUCCGGAAUUAUUGGGCGUAAAGCGCGCGUAGGCGGUUUUUUAAGUCUGAUGUGAAAGCCCACGGCUCAACCGUGGAGAGUCAUUGGAAACUGGAAAACUUGAGUGCAGAAGAGGAAGGUGGAAUUCCAUGUGUGGCGGUGAAAUGCGCAGAGAUAUGGAGGAACGCCAGUGGCGAAGGCGACUUUCUGGUCUGUAACUGACGCUGAUGUGCGAAAGCGUGGGGAUCAAACAGG